UACAGAGGGGGCAAGCGUUGUUCGGAAUUACUGGGCGUAAAGGGCGCGUAGGCGGCCUUCUAAGUCGAACGUGAAAUCCCCGGGCUCAACCCGGGAACUGCGUCCGAUACUGGCAGGCUUGAAUCCGGGAGAGGGAUGCGGAAUUCCAGGUGUAGCGGUGAAAUGCGCAGAUAUCAGGAGGAACACCGGUGGCGAAGGCGGGUCUCUGGGCCGAUACUGACGCUGAGGAGCGAAAGCGUGGGGAGCGAACAGG
rnacentral:rRNA from 1 species